GGAUGAGCUAAAGCCAACGCCACCAAAUUCAACUCCUCUUACUCCAAUUACCUUCUUGGAGAGAGCUGCUAUUAUCUAUGGCGAUUGCCCUUCCAUUGUGUACAACCAUUCUACUUACAAUUGGUCUCAAACCCAUUCUCGUUGCUUAAAAGUUGCUUCAUCCAUUGUAUCUUUGGGUAUUCAAAGAAAUCAGGUUGUUUCUGUUGUUGCCCCCAAUAUUCCUGCCAUGUAUGAGCUUCACUUUGCUGUUCCCAUGGCGGGUGCUGUACUCAACACCAUCAAUCUCCGUCUUGAUGCACGGACUAUCUCUGUACUCCUUCGUCACAGCGAAUCUAAACUUAUCUUCGUUGAUUGUCAAUCCAAAUCCCUAAUUCUCCAAGUUCUUUCGUUAUUUCCACCUGAAUCUCCCCGUCCGGUUCUCGUUCUAAUCGAGGACGACGAAUUCCCAAUUCAAAAAACUGAUGAAUUUGUCAGUACUUAUGAGGAAUUGGUUGAAAGAGGGAAUUCGGGUUUUCAUUGGAUUCGUCCGAGAAGUGAAUUUGAUCCGAUUGCGAUGAAUUACACUUCUGGAACUACUUCCGCUCCGAAAGGUGUGGUUCAUAGCCAUAGGGGUAUUUUCGUUGUUUCGUUGGAUUCGUUGCUUGAAUGGUCCGUUCCGAAACAACCGGUUUAUUUAUGGACGCUUCCGAUGUUUCAUGCAAACGGAUGGAGUUACCCAUGGGGAAUGGCUGCUGUGGGUGGAACUAAUAUCUGUUUGAGAAAAUUCGACGCCGGAAUCAUUUACAACUCCAUCAACAGACACAACGUUACUCAUAUCUGCGCUGCUCCAGUGGUACUCAACAUGUUGUCGAAUUCCCCUGAAAGUAAGCCAUUGAAUCACCCUGUUUAUAUAAUGACAGCAGGAUCCCCACCUCCUGCUGCCGUCCUGUUUCGAACCGAGUCUCUUGGGUUCGUAGUCCAUCAUGGUUAUGGGUUAACAGAAACCGGUGGAUUAGUACUCUCAUGUACAUGGAAAAAUCAUUGGAAUAAGUUUCCAGCUAAUGAAAGAGCAAGGUUGAAAUCAAGACAAGGGGUUAGGACCGUAGGGAUGGCGGAAGUGGACGUGGUGGAUCCAGAAUCAGGAGUCAGUGUUCAACGGGACGGAUCAACCUUGGGAGAAAUUGUUCUCAAGGGUGCAUGUGUGAUGUUAGGUUACUUUAAAGACCCAGAAGGAACGUUGAAAUGCAUGAGAAACGGUUGGUUUUACACAGGGGAUGUGGCAGUUAUGCACAGUGAUGGAUAUCUAGAAAUAAAAGACAGAUCAAAGGACGUGAUCAUAAGUGGUGGAGAGAAUUUGAGCAGUGUAGAAGUAGAAUCAGUGUUGUAUACACAUCCAUCGAUUAACGAAGCAGCAGUCGUUGCACGACCUGAUGAAUUCUGGGGUGAAACACCCUGUGCAUUUGUUAGUCUGAAUGGAAAACAUAAAAUGAUUAGUGAAAAGGACAUUAUUGAGUAUUGUAGAGCCAAAUUGCCACAUUAUAUGGUACCAAAGACAGUCAUAAUUAAACAAGAUCUGCCAAAGACAUCAACAGGGAAAAUCCAGAAGUUUGUGCUUAGAGACAUUGCUAAAAGUAUGGGUAAAAGCAAUAGCAAGAAGAUGAGCAGAAUGUAGAGAUGAGUUACCUAAGCCUGGAUGAGAGAGGUUCAAACAAAUAUGUGCCUUGUUUUUUUGUUUGUUUUUAGUAGUUUGUGUUUGUGGGGUCAAACAAGGGAAAAAAACACACAAGAAAAUGAAUGUGACAAAUUGCGUAUGGUUGCUAAAUUGCUAGUUCAGUUUCGUAAUGGUUUAAAUAAUU
rnacentral:misc_RNA from 1 species